rnacentral:lncRNA from 1 species
GUGAGCCCACCAAGAGUUGCUUCAUUAGAACAAAAGAUGAUCCUAUCAUCCAGGAAAUUGCCAAGGAUUUAGGAGAUCUGUGUCAGGAACUGAGGUCAAAGUCCAAAUAUUGGAACAGAAGAUUCUCUUAGUACCCCUAUCUAUAAAAGUUUCAGGAGCCGUAUGUCAAGAACUGAAGGAAAAAAACAAAUAGAUAUUUCUUCUUAUAUUACAACAGUACAGAUAUUCAACAAGGGCAGUCCUGAACAAAAUUUUAAAAAAUAUAUCUGAAAAUACAAAGAACCAAGAAUAGUGAAGAUACCAUUAGAGAAGAAUAACAGAGCUAAUGAACUUUUCUUAAUCAUGAGAUUUGUCAUCAAGGAAUGAGUUAAUGAGUGUGGAAAGUCUGACAAUAGGGAAGGAAAAGCAGAGAAUAUUCAAGAAAGCAAGCCACUGGAAGAGAUGGUAGGGAAGGCAGAGAUAAGAAAAUGAGGUGUUGAUGGAUUAGGACAUUCCUCUCUGGCUGAUUCCUGAUUAAAUUUGGACAAAGGACCUGACAGCUGUCAUGUCUCUGUUUCCCAUAACUCUUCCCUCAAAUCAGAAAGCACAGAGUCUGCUACAUGAGAAAAGUGUGGAGAGCCAUCUUGUGCAGCAAUGAAGGUCACUGUGCAAGUACACCUAAUUACAUCAUCCGAGGCCAUAAAGAACUGAGUGUGGACUUUGGUUAAAAUACUUAAAAUACCUGCACACUUAGUACAUGAAAUCUGGCUUCUCCACAAGCUGCAAAAGUGACCAGCCCAUACCUAUUGCUUCAUUAGGAAUUUCCUAUGACCAGUUGACAAAGGAAGAGGAGACUUGAGCCUGGUUUAUACUUGGUCCUAUGUGACAUGCUGGCACUCCUGAAAGUGUACAGCUGAAGCACUACAGCCCCUUUCUGGGAUAUCCCUGAAGGACACUGAUGAAGGGAAAGCCUUCCAGUGAGCAGAAACACCUUAUAUGAC